UGUUAAGAAUUCCAUCCAUUUCUAUUAUUAAAAACUAGCAUGGAUGACAGAAUAACCAAACAGAGAAAUGUGAUGUGUCACAUGUACCUUAUGCUGACAUACAAGGGUCAGUUUCUAACAAUAGAAAUUGAUAAAAUUUUUAACA
rfam:Gossypium arboreum cultivar AKA8401 contig_4106_5, whole genome shotgun sequence.